GAGAACAUAAACUAGCAUAGAGGCAUAGUAACAAGUGAUAUAUGUA
rnacentral:guide_RNA from 1 species